ACGGAGGAAGCCGAAAAUCCGUAACUAAGAGUAGGAA
rnacentral:ncRNA from 1 species